UAAUAGUAUUCAUGAGAAUCUACAUGUAAAGAUUGGUGACAGGGGACUAAGUUGGGAUUUUUAUCCAGAAGAUUAUAAUACAAUAGAAGAGAGCUAGGAGGAGGGGGAGAUGAGACCAUUGCUUAUCCUGUCAAGUGGAUGGCAGCUGAAGUUUUGUCUGACAAAAGAUACUCUUCAUCUUCUGAUGUGUGGUCAUUUGGUGUUGUACUGUGGGAGAUAAUGACAAGAGGAAAGACUCCUUAUGAAGAUGUACUACCUGAAAAUAUGUUAAACUAUUUAACUACUGGCCACAGACUCCCCCAACCUAAAAA